UACGGGGGGGGCAAGCGUUGUUCGGAAUUACUGGGCGUAAAGGGUUCGUAGGUGGCCAACUAAGUCAUACGUGAAAUCCCUCAGCUUAACUGGGGAACUGCGUCUGAUACUGGUUGGCUUGAGUGCAGGAGAGGAACGCGAAUUCCAGGUGUAGCGGUGAAAUGCGUAGAUAUCUGGAGGAACACCGGUGGCGAAGGCGGAUCUCUGGGCCGAUACUGACGCUGAGGAGCGAAAGCGUGGGGAGCGAACAGG
rnacentral:rRNA from 1 species